GAUGAACGCUGACUGAAUGCUUAACACAUGCAAGUCAACUUGAAUUUGGGUUUUUAACUUCGGUUUGGGUGGCGGACGGGUGAGUAACGCGUAAAGAACUUGCCUCACAGCUAGGGACAACAUUUGGAAACGAAUGCUAAUACCUAAUAUUAUGAUAAUAGGGCAUCCUAUAAUUAUGAAAGCUAUAAGCGCUGUGAGAGAGCUUUGCGUCCCAUUAGCUAGUUGGAGAGGUAACGGCUCACCAAGGCGAUGAUGGGUAGCCGGCCUGAGAGGGUGAUCGGCCACAAGGGGACUGAGACACGGCCCUUACUCCUACGGGAGGCAGCAGUGGGGAAUAUUGGACAAUGGACCGAGAGUCUGAUCCAGCAAUUCUGUGUGCACGAUGAAGUUUUUCGGAAUGUAAAGUGCUUUCAGUUGGGAAGAAACAAAUGACGGUACCAACAGAAGAAGCGACGGCUAAAUACGUG
rnacentral:rRNA from 1 species